rnacentral:rRNA from 1 species
GACGAACGCUGGCGGCGUGCUUAACACAUGCAAGUCGAACGAGACGAUUGAAAGCUUGCUUUUGAAAGUCGAGUGGCAAACGGGUGAGUAACGCGUAGACAACCUGCCUUUGAGAUGGGGACAACAGUUCGAAAGGACUGCUAAUACCGAAUGUUGUAUAUUUUCCACAUGGAAGAUAUAUUAAAGAUGGCCUCUAUUUAUAAGCUAUCGCUCAAAGAUGGGUCUGCGUCUGAUUAGCUGGUUGGUGGGGUAACGGCCUACCAAGGCGACGAUCAGUAGCCGGUCUGAGAGGAUGAACGGCCACAUUGGGACUGAGACACGGCCCAGACUCCUACGGGAGGCAGCAGUGGGGAAUCUUCCACAAUGGACGAAAGUCUGAUGGAGCAACGCCGCGUGAGUGAAGAAGGGUUUCGGCUCGUAAAGCUCUGUUGUCGGGGACGAAUGUGCAGUAUUUGAAUAAAGUAGUGUAAUGACGGUACCUGACGAGGAAGCCACGGCUAACUACGUGCCAGCCGCCGCAGUAAAAC